rnacentral:rRNA from 1 species
GGUUGNNCNNGCCGGAGGUCACUGCUAUUGGGGUUCGNNUAAGCCAUGCGAGCGGAGGGCGCGGUCGCAAGAUCGUGGCCCCGCACACGGCUCAGUAACACGUAGUCAACCUACCCUUGGGACGGGGACAACGCCGGGAAACUGGCGAUAAUCCCCGAUAGGUGAGGGAUGCUGGGAUGCUUCUCCGCUCAAAGNUCCGGCGCCCGAGGAUGGGACUGCGGCCUAUCAGGCUGUUGGUGGUGUGACGGACCACCAAACCUACGACGGGUACGGGCGAUGGGAGUCGGAGCCUGGAGAUGGGGACUGAGACAAGGCCCCAGGCCCUACGGGGCGCAGCAGGCGCGAAAACUCCGCAAUGCGCGCAAGCGUGACGGGGGAACCCCAAGUGCCGUUGGUCUUUUGAUCGACGGCUUUUCGGAAGUCCAAUACGCUUCCGGAAUAAGGGCUGGGUUAGACUGGUGCCAGCCGCCGCGGUAACACCAGCAGCCCAAGUGGUGGCCGCGAUUAUUGGGCCUAAAGCGCUCGUAGCCGGAUCAGCAAGUCCUUUGUGAAAUCGGGCCGCCCAACGGUUCGGCGUGCAAAGGAUACUGUUUGUCUUGAGACCGGGAGAGGUCGGAGGUACUCUUGGGGGUAGCGGUGAAAUGCUGUAAUCCUGGGGGGACCACCAGUGGCGAAGGCGUCCGACCAGAACGGAUCUGACGGUGAGGGGCGAAGGCUAGGGGAGCGAACGGGAUUAGAUACCCCGGAAGUCCUAGCUGUAAAGCAUGCGGGCCAGGUGUCUAGCGCUCCUUGAGGGCGCUAUGUGUCGGAGGGAAGCCGUUAAGCCCGCCGCCUGGGAAGUACGGCCGCAAGGCUGAAACUUAAAGGAAUUGGCGGGGGAGCAC